UUUCCACUCUAAGAUAAAACUUUCCACUCUAAGAUAAAACUUUCCAUUCUAAGAGUUUUAUCUUAGAGUGAAAAGUUUUAUCUUAGAAAGGAA
rnacentral:pre_miRNA from 1 species